AGAUUGUCGGCGGUUGAAAAUGGAAAGUGUAGGGAGGUGGAGCAGAGAGGAAAGGAGGGAGUGUCUCUCGAGCUCGCACCAUAAACAAGAGGCGUGGGCCGCGGACACACCUCCGCGCCGCGGGGCCCGGCCCAGGUGUCCGGCCUGCGCCUGCGCGGGGGAUCCGGGAGGCGGCCCCGGCUCUAAAAAUACACGCGCCUUGUAUACAGAAGGUGUCAUUAAAACCUGGAAGGAAGUAUAGCAGAAUGGUGACAGUGUUAACGCUGGGAUUGCGGGCGAAUUUUAUAUUUAAAAUGCUUGUGUUUUCAGUUUUUCUAAAAAUGAGUUAUUACUUCUUAAAAAGCCUCCUUUAUAAAGUGGAUAUAGGCUCCUGAAAUCUGUAAGUAGCUUUCUGUAACUCAGAAAGGAGAGUCUAAAGGAGUAGGGGAUGGUUAUUUAAAACAAAAUCUCUGCUGAAGCCUUUUGUAAAUUGAGGCCUGUUUGUAACUGCUAUCUACAUGUUUUCAUAGUUUGGAUUUGGGGAUACUGGGUUUUCUUAAAAAAUUAAUAUCCUUAGAUGCAAAAUCAUAACUUGAAUCAAGCUCCGCCCUCAAAAAUAAAAAAAAAGUAGUUUCCGUCUCAAGGCGUCUUCUCAACCAUUUGCUCCAUGUGGAAGGACUAGAAAGUUGUGGUGUGCGGGGGUCCCACCACUCUUCCACUCCGCCUCCAAACAGCUAGGAAGCCAGGGUCUGGUCUGGAAAGCAGAAAAAAGUGCUCUGUGUUGAGAAAGCGGAAGAGAUGAAGAAGGAAUCUACAGAAGGCACAGAGCCGGUCCUGGUUCUACUCUAUUCCCAAGGACUGGAGAAAGGUAUCAAUGCAGAUGAAACGCAAAAGAUUUGUGCAGUAUGUGGAAAAGUAUCGAACAUGUCAGAAGUGGUUUGUGAAGUUUUGUGCUGGAAAUUUCUCAGUGGAUGAUGCUCCACGGUCAGACAGACCAGUUGAUAUGGAUGGCAAUCAAACCGAGACACUGAGGACAUCUACAUUAUAUACCAUGGCGGAGAUGGCUGACACACUCAA